rnacentral:rRNA from 1 species
GACGAACGCUGGCGGCGUGCUUAACACAUGCAAGUCGAGCGGUAAGGCCCUUUCGGGGGUACGACGAGCGGCGAACGGGUGAGUAACACGUGGGUGACCUGCCCUCAGCUCUGGGAGUAAGCCUGGGAAACCGGGUCUAAUACCGGAUAUGACUCCAUGACGCAUGUUGUGGGGUGGAAAGCCUUGUGCGGCUGAGGAUGGGCCCGCGGCCUAUCAGCUUGUUGGUGGGGUGAUGGCCUACCAAGGCGACGACGGGUAGCCGGCCUGAGAGGGCGACCGGCCACACUGGGACUGAGACACGGCCCAGACUCCUACGGGAGGCAGCAGUGGGGAAUCUUGCGCAAUGGGCGAAAGCCUGACGCAGCGACGCCGCGUGAGGGAUGACGGCCUGUGUAACUCUU